rnacentral:autocatalytically_spliced_intron from 1 species
CUGACCCCGUAUCGACUGAUUCCGAAAGGAUGAGAUCGGUUUUAAUUGCAAUAGGCAAUUAGCUGAUCACACGCCGACUCUUAUCAUAUUAUAAAAAAGCCAGGCCAUGAUUAAAUUCUACAGCCGGCGAUAAGAUGAAGAUAUAGUCAGAGCCUUUAGAAAUAAAGGA